GGGAGAGUGGCCGAGUGGUUAAAAGCGACAGACUAGAAAUCUGCCGAAGAUUUUCUACGUAGGUUCGAAUCCUGCCA
rnacentral:tRNA from 1 species